UACGGAGGGGGCUAGCGUUGUUCGGAAUUACCGGGCGUAAAGCGCGCGUAGGCGGCUUUGUAAGUUAGAGGUGAAAGCCCGGAGCUCAACUCCGGAAUUGCCUUUAAGACUGCAUCGCUAGAAUCAUGGAGAGGUUAGUGGAAUUCCGAGUGUAGAGGUGAAAUUCGUAGAUAUUCGGAAGAACACCAGUGGCGAAGGCGACUAACUGGACAUGUAUUGACGCUGAGGUGCGAAAGCGUGGGGAGCAAACAGG
rnacentral:rRNA from 1 species